rnacentral:lncRNA from 1 species
CGCAACUUAUCUUUCCUGGUUUGAGUUAUAUAGUCAGCUGAGGUGUAGAAAAUCCACUAUGGGAAGUAAAUCCAAUAACUUAUUGGGGAGAAACUUCUCUUCAUUUGGGCUGCCACAUGAAAUACUUGGGCCCCAUGGGGAUCUUGGAUAAUAGUUGUGAUUGAUGUCCAGUUAAAGCCCUUCCCACGCCAUCUUUCUUCUUCUUCAUGAAAGACUGUUUGAAAAGGUACUAGAUACAUUAACAUCAAGGGGAAGAUCUUCAUUCCAGUAACGAAGUCUCCAUUCUCUUUUCUCCUGCCACUAAACUGAACUCAAAGAUGGCCUUUUUUUUUUUUUCUGGAUACAGUGAAUAUUCUCUUAGUUUAAAAGGGAUUGUCUUCCUUCUGGAGGGUAGUUCAGAGAAAAAAAGCAAGGCUAAGAAGGUGAGGAGGACAAGUCUUGGGCAAGUUUGACUUAGUGAGGAGAAUCAUACAAACAGACACCCAUUUCCUAAAGUGUGCCAGAAGCCUCUUUUAUCUGCAUCAGGAUCUCUCUAAAGAUGUCCAUCUUGCUGAGAUAAAAAUGUAUACAUGUACCCAAACAUUACACUGUGCCCUAUUAAUUUGUACAAUUAUUAUUCAUCAAUUAAAUAUCAAAUAAAACAUUAAAAAUGUC